CCUCCAUUCAGGUGAGAAGUGGGGGAGUGACCCCCCGAAGAUGAAGGGGGUGGGCUAACUAUGCCCCUCAUCCAUAAUGGGAGGUGAGGAGAGAUGUCCCCUUCCUGGUCUCCUCCAGAAGACUCUAUGGAUUUCCCCCACCCCCCGCACUGGACAGAGAUGGGCACUGAACUGUUAAAGAUUAUGGAAACAGACCUUGGCAUCUACAGUGAGGAGAAUAGCCACGUUGACAACAACUACAGCAAUGGUGCUGAAUUCUAAUGAGAGAAAGCUCGUGUGAACUGUGCAGUGCUCGGCGUGUGAUGGUUACAAACUGAGCCCUGCAAUUUGGUUUGUGAAGAUGUGACCACAACCCAGCCCCAUUAGGCUCAGUUGGAGGUGUCAGCCCAAUGGAUUCUAACCUCCAAGAGAACAUCCCACCCUUCAGCAUGCUCUGGGACCUCCUCCUUGCUAUUGCCUCCUCCCGCUAAUGGCUUGGGCCCCACCCACCCUUGUGCAUCUUGGCAGGCGUGACCAGUGUCAUCGUCAUAGCGUUUAAGACCAGAAGGGACCAUUUAGUCUGACUGUAUAACACAGAUACCACCCAGACCCUGCACACUAAACCCAAUAACCAAAAUUAGACCUAAGUAUUACAAUCCACAGGGAGACUAUGAUGAAGUGAGAUGUACUCAGAUACUCCCAUCAAUUAACUGGCCUUAGUAACCCCUGAAUAAUGGUAGAACCCAGCUCGGAAAGAACAGGCAGUACUAAGAGAGAGCCAGGAAGUUGACAGUAGAAUGGGGCUGCAGUGAAGGCGCCUGUAGCCACUUUCUGGACAGUCAAGAGGGAAAUAAGGGAAACUAGUUGGAGAGGGUGUUAACCUUGAGAGUCCUCAAUACAGUUGUGUGCUUUCAGUCCGUGGAUAAUGGUAUACAACACAAGCAUGUUGCAACGCUAUAUUGAGUUUUUUGCAGCCACACCAUAACAUCACAAGUCUACUUGAGCAUAGUCGCAAAUCAUCUUCUGGCUUCGUGCUCAUCCAUGAGGUAGGAGCACACAGCAUCCUGAAUUUCCCUGGCCCACUGGGAACCUGGAGCAGUGUGUACAUGAGUUGGGUCAGGCUGUCCUGUACAGGCUUCAGAAAGCAGUUCUGUCCUGUGAUCACUCACUGUGGAAAUAGUCCUGUUUGCAUUCACAGACAGGUGUGCAAAGCAUAGCACGUUAGCAUCCAGCCAGCUCUGGAGGCAUUGUCAGUGGGCUUUCAGACACUCCAAGGCACACUCCACCAUUGUUCUCUUUUCCUUGCAUCAGUGAUGUCAAGGUACAGCUUCAUUAGCUAUGGUAGGAACAAGUACGAGGGUUGCCCAAAAUAAAUGCUGGCACAGAGACUUCAUACAUAAUUUCAUUUCUGGGGAAUAAAGUCCCUUCUUGCGCCCUGUGGUACAGUCCUGACAGCCUGAGCAUUCUGGUGUCACAGACCUAUCCUGUGUGUCUGACAUAGGUGUUCAUGAAGUGACCCCUGUAGUCCACUCUGCUUUGGAGAUCCAAAGAAUAGUAACCUUUUCAGUUGAUGUAUUCACUGACCCCUUUCAGUGGGCAAAGUUUAGGGAUGUGGGUUUUGUUGAGGGCCCCCUCAAAGUUCGGAAACCCCACCCUCUGAAAUCCUGCUAUAACUUCAGAAGACCUCAGUGAUGGCAACCAUCUGUUGGUAGAUCACAGUAGUGAUAGCCAUGCACACCUGUACAACAGUGCCCUGAGAGCUGACUUCCCAACACCAAACUGGUUUGCAACUGACUGCUAACAGUCAGGGGUUGCCAGCUUCCAAAUGGUGAUGGUCGCCCAUUUCUACACCAAUAUGGGUUUCCAAAAUCAAGUGGUCUGGCACUGGAUGGUUGGUGCAAGCUCCUUUUACCAACCUUUUUUUCAAAAUCUAGCAGGCUAGUCCAUCUUAUCACCCUAGCUUUCUGCGAUCUAAUUGUUCAGGUAGACAAGUCCUAAUUUAUUAUUCAUUGCCGGAUGUAAUUUGGGGUGCUGACUUUGGUUGUUGAAGGCUGGUUCUCUACUGCAUUGGAUGCAUCAUUUAGUACACCUGUGCAAAGUGUAAAAAAUGCUAUCAUGUUGAUUUGGAAGUGUAUCACAUUCAUUUUGUGCAGAUGCAAAUGCAUACACAGGAUGCAGUGCAGUUGGGGCAUCAACCCCUAAACCUCUAAUAUAAUCGGGAUCCUAGCUACCAAGAAUGUUUUCCUAUCUUGUACCAUGAAAAUUUAAAUCAAGUGAAACACUCCAUUUGAAAGACAACAGAUUGGAACGGAGUAUUUUCAGUGGAAGACCUUUGCCUAAGGAAUUCACUGUCUCCACUGGUACUGCAUACCCCGGAUCUGUUGAUUUCCAGUGCAGGUGCAAAGCUCAUCGCUUUUCUAGCUCUCUUUCAGAGAUGGUGGGAGUAGCCAGGAUGAAUGUUACGUUUAUUAUUUUAGUUGGGGGUGAAACUUUUUUAGCUUGAUUAAAAUGGUAUUAGAGUGUGAGUUUAUGCAAGAUUAGUACUUAGGCCCAGAGACACACAUAAUGGAUGCAGUUUUGUGAAUACAUUUUUUUUAAGUCCAAGUGCUACCACAAUAUAAAUAAUAAAUAACAAAAUCCAGACAGUUUAUUUUGUGUUAAGCAUUGGGGUAUCUUUCUGAAUCCAACCCUCAACCAAAUUUUUAUGGGUACUUUAUAGGCUUAGAAACCCGGUAGCAGCUAGUUUGUUUUGGGCUUAUUUCUAAUUUCAAUGAAUUAAUAACAAAAAAUUGUCUCUGUAGUAUUCUGCAGAUAGCAGUCCAUCAAGAAAAUGAAAAAUCAAAUAGUUUUACGCAGUUUACAGUAACUACUAGUCCUUGGGAGAUAACCGAAUAAAUACAGUAAACUAAAUCAUUUUGCAAACUUGGUUCAACAAACUUUAAAAUGAUAAAAUAAAUCUCACUUUCUCUCUUGAGUUUUGGUGUUUUCCCUGUCCUUGCUAAGGAUGUAACUCAUUUGUUAAGUGUAGCAAUAGACUUGGUCUGCAGGCUGCUGUACCUGAAAUAAACAGUCUUUGUUCUUACCUUUCAAGUCAGCAAUCUGGUCGGGUAGAUGUGCAUGACAGACUUUUAAUAAAUAAAGGCAUAAUAAAAUGUAGCUCAACUUUAUUUUUCCCCCCGUGUAUUGUAAUAUCAAAAAGAU